rfam:Perkinsus marinus ATCC 50983 gcontig_1104296623762, whole genome shotgun sequence.
GACAUCGUGUCCGAGUGGUUAAGGAGUUGGACUUGAAAUCCAAUGGGCUCAGCCCGCGCAGGUUCGAAUCCUGCCGAUGUCG